GUAGGACGCACAGUUUAUACCGUAGCUUGCUACACCAUAGACUGUGAGUUGCGAACGGGUGAGUAACGCGUAGGUAACCUGCCUAUUAGAGGGGGAUAACUAUUGGAAACGAUAGCUAAUACCGCAUAACAGUAUGUAACACAUGUUAGAUGCUUGAAAGAUGCAAUUGCAUCGCUAGUAGAUGGACCUGCGUUGUAUUAGCUAGUAGGUAGGGUAAAGGCCUACCUAGGCAACGAUACAUAGCCGACCUGAGAGGGUGAUCGGCCACACUGGGACUGAGACACGGCCCAGACUCCUACGGGAGGCAGCAGUAGGGAAUCUUCGGCAAUGGGGGGAACCCUGACCGAGCAACGCCGCGUGAGUGAAGAAGGUUUUCGGAUCGUAAAGCUCUGUUGUUAAGGAAGAACGAGUGUGAGAAUGGAAAGUUCAUGCUGUGACGGUACUUAACCAGAAAGGGACGGCUAACUACGUGCCAGCAGCCGCGGUAAUACGUAGGUCCCGAGCGUUGUCCGGAUUUAUUGGGCGUAAAGCGAGCGCAGGCGGUUAGAAAAGUCUGAAGUGAAAGGCAGUGGCUCAACCAUUGUAGGCUUUGGAAACUGUUUAACUUGAGUGCAGAAAGGGGAGAGUGGAAUUCCAUGUGUAGCGGUGAAAUGCGUAGAUAUAUGGAGGAACA
rnacentral:rRNA from 1 species